UCUUAAAUGUGGGAAAUAGUCUAUAGUUUGGAAGACACCAGAGAAAAAUGCUCCACAGCUCACCCUGGUGACUCACUACAACUUAUGGGAAGAUGCUUUUCUCCAGUGUGACCUUGUGCAAAUCAUUUUCCUUUCGUGGCCUCAACAUCAUUUGAAAAAUAACGGACUGCACUAGAUGACUUAGUCUUGGCAACACAGAGGCCACUGGACAGAGGCAUAACCUUGCGUGGCAGCUGCACAGGAAUUGGAUUUGGCUCAGCUUGUUUCAGAUGACUAAGGGUGGCCUCAGAAGGCUUUUCUCCAUUAACAAUCUCAUCAGGUGACUUUGAGAGCCACUUCCAUGAGAUGGCUGUGUUGACAACUCAGAGAGUUCCACCACAAGGACUGACUCGGUCUGAAAAAAUGACAGCACAUAGAUGGAAGGAAACAGAAAACCAAAAGAACCUGCCUUACUAUACCUCUAUGGCCCUUCAAAGGCGAGAGUAGAAUCUGCUAUGAUUUAGUAGCAAACAAGAAAAAGUACACAU